CAGCAGCCGCGGGAAUACGAAGGGUGCAAGCGUUACUCGGAAUUACUGGGCGUAAAGCGUGUGUAGGUGGUUGUUUAAGUCUGUCGUGAAAGCCCUGGGCUCAACCUGGGAAUUGCGAUGGAUACUGGGCGACUAGAGUGCGGUAGAGGAUAGUGGAAUUUCCGGUGUAGCAGUGAAAUGCGUAGAGAUCGGAAGGAACAUCUGUGGCGAAGGCGACUAUCUGGGCCAGCACUGACACUGAGACACGAAAGCGUGGGGAGCAAACAGGAUUAGAUACCCCAGUAGUACCUGUCUCUUAUAC
rnacentral:rRNA from 1 species